rnacentral:lncRNA from 1 species
AUGUUUGCUACAAACACUCCUGUACUCCUCCUUUCAGUCCUGACGUUUCCAUAUUUGCAACAGGAGCUUGUGUUGCCAUCAAGCGCUCCCAAAUGUUUUCCCCUCACACCCAACUAUGUAGCCGGAGGAGUUUGGGGCGGGCGGACCCUGCGAUCCUCACAAAGUCCACACUGUCCAGACACCACCUCUGCCCCCCCCCCCCCCCCCCCCCCCCCCCCCCCCCCCCACAGCUGCCCACCUUUCUGCCCUCUCUCCCUCCUCUUCUCCUGCUCCUCUGCCGGGGCCGCUCAUUCCGCGCCGCUGCUUGAGGAGCUUCGGGGCACGCUCAUCCUUCACACCGACCAUGCUUUGCAGCAGCCGUAUCUGCAGAGUCCUCCCCCUGGUGCUGCUAGGCCUCUUGGUAGCCUUUGUACACACAGACACGGUGCUGGGCCAUGGCUCCGCGGGCAGGGACCACCAGGACCCCAUGUCCGGAGAAGCGCCCAGCGACGUCAGCACCCGGAGCCCGUUCCCCGUGACGGAGCAGUUCUUCACCGCUCACUACGACUACGCCACGCACCCGGCGGACAUGGACGCCGAGGAGGGGGCCCUGGGGCCGGGGGCCAUCACCGCCAUCGUCAUAGCUGUCUUCCUGGGAGCAUCCGUCCUCCUCGCCCUCAUCGUCAUCACACUCAGGAAGUUUACCGCUUCCUAGAGCGUCUGCGUCCCGUGUGUGUGUGUGUGUGUGUGUGUGUGUGUGUGUGUGUGUGUGUGUGUGUGUGUGUGUCUCAGUGCUCUCAUCUCUUAAAGGUGAUUCGUGCCUUUUGCUUCGCUUGUCCUUUAGCUCGGCUUCUGACGCCUGUGGCAGGUUUCUUGGCUCUUUGACACCUCAGUCCCAUAAACACACUCAUGUUGAAUAAUGUUAGAAACUGGCUGGUUCUUCCAGUGGAAAUCAAAGCGUGUCACAGUGUUUGAUCGAGGGCUUUUAACGUCUCCUGGUCUCAAAUGCUCUUUAAGUGUUUGUGCUUAGUCUGUGUCUUCCUCUUUCCUCUCAAGCCUUGUUCCUUGGUGUCACCCAUGUACCCGAUUUUAUGUUUGUGUUGCACCAUUCACAAACAUUUGCAGAGUUUAAAUAAGACUGAAAACAGUUUAAUGAGGCGUCAGUGAAAGUAAACAAGUCCGCUGAGUUGUUAGUUUUGCCUGCGGAGCAAAUAGAAAUCUGGAGUGUGGUGGAUGAAAGUAUGCGAGGACUCAAGUGACUGUUUGUGUUUUUGUUGCUUUAUUCGUAGUGGCAUAAUUAUUCUAAAAAUAUAUAUAUGUCUGUUUUGUGUUCUCCCAUACAGCUGGACGUUGUCAUGGUGAUAUCACUUCCAAAUAUUUAGUUUUAUUGUGUAAUAUAACUUGAAUAAAUCACGUGCAAAGUCUGUGACUGAUGCGCA